UUUGGCACUGUCACAUUUUUGUGUGUCUAUAAUUCUACAAAAAUUGUGAUAGUGUCAAGC
rnacentral:pre_miRNA from 1 species